UUAAGAGAGUCUAUUUGUCAAUGAAUGGGAUGAUAGCACCCAUCAAAUUGACUAUAUUAGUCCGUAAUGAAAAUGGCCAUCAGGUUAUUGUGCAUCCUUUACAUAAAGGAGUAAAUAUGUUGGGUCUCUUGAGACCCAGAACAGUCUUCUAAAAAAUAAAGAAUAAAAAUUGGCAAGUCAAAAAGAUUUAUGAGCAAGUAUCCAUGGACCAUUUCUUUCUAAUGAUGGGCAAUGUUCUAAAAUUAUCCAAGGAAGAAUUACAAACAUAAUCAAUGUUUUAAAAAAUUACUGCCAACCGCGAAGAACUUAUACCCCAUCUGGAAACAUGGUUCAAUGAUCUAAUGAAGGGGGGCACCCCGGAUAGGGACAUGUCAUUAGUGGAUAUUGUACUCUUGCCAAAACCUGGCAAAGAUGAUUUGAUCCCGGAAAACUUCCGCCCGAUAUCCUUGAUAAAUCAUGAUUCUAAAAUACUGGCAAAGAUCCUGGCUUGCAGAUUGAACCCCCUAUUGACGCUUUUAAUACACCCGGACCAGGUAGGC